rnacentral:piRNA from 1 species
UCCUUCGUAGCACUGUGGUUGAUUGG